AUUGAACGCUGGCGGCAGGCUUAACACAUGCAAGUCGAACGGUAACAUAAAGAAGCUUGCUUCUUUGAUGACGAGUGGCGGACGGGUGAGUAAUGCUUGGGAAUCUGGCUUAUGGAGGGGGAUAACUACGGGAAACUGUAGCUAAUACCGCGCAGAAUCGGGAGAUGAAAGUGUGGGACCUUCGGGCCACAUGCCAUAGGAUGAGCCCAAGUGGGAUUAGGUAGUUGGUGAGGUAAAGGCUCACCAAGCCGACGAUCUCUAGCUGGUCUGAGAGGAUGACCAGCCACACUGGGACUGAGACACGGCCCAGACUCCUACGGGAGGCAGCAGUGGGGAAUAUUGCGCAAUGGGGGCAACCCUGACGCAGCCAUGCCGCGUGAAUGAAGAAGGCCUUCGGGUUGUAAAGUUCUUUCGGUAGCGAGGAAGGCAUUUGGUUUAAUAGACUAGGUGAUUGAC
rnacentral:rRNA from 1 species